rnacentral:misc_RNA from 1 species
UUGAUAUCGAAAAUAUAUCGAGGUAUUUGAAAAACUUGUAAAAUAAGUGYUGGCAGCUGCCAUCAUUAAUAAAUUCAUCUCACUCGUUGCAUCGUCUCCUAUGGAUUUGGGGCACGUGGUGGAUGUAGACAAAAAUUCAAACCGGCGCAGCUUCGUGCCAAGUAUAGAUCGAAAACACGUGAGCCCUAUAUCGGGUUUCUAGUGCAUGGAGUGUGCCCCAUUCCAUAUGUAUCAACACGACUCUCGGCAAUGGAUAUCUUGGCUCUUGCAUCGAUGAAGAGCGCAGCGAAAUGCGAUACGUGAUGCGAAUUGCAGAAUCCCGUGAACCAUCGAGUCUUUGAACGCAAGUUGCGCCCGAGGCCUAUCGGCUAAGGGCACGUUCGCCUGGGCGUCAAGUGUUGCAUCGCUCCCUGCCAUCCCCACCACAUCUAAUGAUGUAAUGGAAAGGGCUCGGAUGCGUAGAGUGGCUCCUCGUGCCUGUGGUGCGGCGGGUUGAAGAUUGUGGUGUUGUCUCACUCGGCUGGGAGCAAUAAGGGGUGGAUGCAAGUAGUUCCUACAUUGUUCUGUGCUGGCCUGAGAAGAGAGAGACCAAUUUGAUCCAAACACGUGCGCUGGUCCAAAAGUCAGCGGCAUGUAAU